GACGAACGCUGGCGGCGUGCUUAACACAUGCAAGUCGAACGGACAGGCCCUGCUUUUGUGGGGUUCUUGAGUGGCGAACGCGUGAGUGACACGCGUGUAUACUGCCCCUGACUUUGGGAUAACUUCAGGGAACUGGGGCUAAUACCGCAUAGGAGCUUUUGCUGCACGGUGUUCGUUGGAAAGUUUCGGCGGUGGGGGAUCGACUCGAGGCGUAUCAGCUUGUUGGGGGGGUAGUGGCUUACCAAGGCUUCGACGGAUAGCCGGCCUGAGAGGGUGAACGGCCACACUAGAACUGAGACACGGUCCAGACGCCUGCGGGAGGCAGCAGUAGGGAAUCUUCCGCAAUGGGCGAAAGCCUGACGGAGCAGCGCCGCGUGAGUGAUGAAGGUCUUCGGAUCGUAAAACUCUGUUAUGAGGGAAGAACAUAUGUGUAAGUAACUGUGCACAUCUUGACGGUACCUAAUCAGAAAGCCACGGCUAACUACGUG
rnacentral:rRNA from 1 species